CACACACACACACACACACACACACACAAUAGAAGCACUAGAAUAUCCACAAAUACGAAGGCAAACAGAAAGACUCACAAAACACAAACACACAUUCAACCUCUUGGCGUGCAGCUUCCCUCUCAGUUUUAAGACUUUAAAAGUAUCCGAGUACUUCUAAUAUUUCAUGUAUCCGCUCGUUCCAAGUCUUGAUUGAAGCUCCAUAAUUAUUACGCUACGUAAAAUAUUUAAACUCAAUAUACGGCCUUAUUUUUGGGCUGUACUGUUUUAUCAAAAGCAAAAUAUUCUACAUGCUUUGCACAUCAUUUUAAACACCUUUGUUCUAAAUCCAUCUUGACAUAUCUGUUAUUUCAUAUCCUCAUUUUCAACCAUGUGCGUCCAAAAACGUUACUUUUCAGGAAGAAAAACAACUCUUCUAAAUGCUUUGCGUUGGUUAAAUAUGUGUGAAACGCACAGAUGGAUUGAGUGAGUGACUAAUAGCAUCGCUUUAUGAAGAGGAAAAGCAGGCAAACUCUGGAGAUAUGAGGAUGGCCACGUGAGGACACUUUCUGUGGGGACUCCCGCUGGAACCAGACUGAGCGCGUGCAGACCAACAGGUAAGCUGAACACGACACACUCCAAAUGAAAUGAGUCCUCAGAGAUCGUUACAGGACGGCUGUGUGAGGUUCAUGAACACUGAGGGAAACCCAGCGACUUGUUUCGGGGCCAAGAAUGUUCCUGAAAAGCUUGUUUUCCACAUAUCUUCUUUAUGCGCGUAACGUGAAUACAUCUUACAUGUACAGGAUGAUUCAGAGCUGUAUCCUUAAACUUUGGAUGCUCUCCAUGCAGCUCGGGAGUAUUUUCCACUCGGUGGAACAUUUAGAAUUGAAUGCAGCGUUUCAAAACAACAUAAAUCCAAAUGAUAGAAAUGUGCACGGAAGGGAAUAUUCUAUGAAGGUUACACAUGGGAGCACGGGGCUCCUUCUUAUCUGUUUAUUUUAUUAUAUAUAUAUAUACUGUUGUGGUUAUACUUGUUUCGCUGGUAUUUGGGGUAUUUUUCUUCAUUGUGGAAUAUCUCCAGCUGGUUUCUGAACUGGGCCGACUGAUUUCCUGAGAAAAAGAAUCCGGGAUCAAGUCAAGAUAGGGACAAACAGCAGGAGAGGACAGAAUGUCAAUGUGA